rnacentral:rRNA from 1 species
UACGAAUGGAGCGAGCGUUGUUCGGAAUCACUGGGCGUAAAGCGUGCGCAGGCGGUUGUGAAAGUCAGGAGUGAAAUCCCAGGGCUUAACCCUGGAAUUGCUUUUGAAACUUCACGACUAGAGUACUGGAGGGGUUGGCGGAAUUUCGAGUGUAGCAGUGAAAUGCGUAGAUAUUCGAAGGAACACCGAUGGCGUAGGCAGCCAACUGGACAGUUACUGACGCUCAUGCACGAAAGUAUGGGGAGCAAACAGG